ACACCCAAACACACACCUUUUUCUUGUUCUUUAUUUGACUAAAUCAGUCUUCCACAUCACCUCCUCUAGGAAGUUUUCCUGGAUGUUCCCUGACUCCAUUGUGAACCAGGCUCUAUCCUUAGAUCCAUAUUGUCCUGGUGUCUUGUAACCCAGUCUAACCAUCAUAUUCCAUUGUGAAUGUCAAGGACGGAGGCAGAAUCUGGGUCCUCUUUUGUGUCUUUGUGGAUUACUGAUAUCCCACAUGGAAGGCAUUUUGCAGCGGGUUAAGGGGGGCUAGAGCUUGAGUUCUUCGGCCUCCUGGGUAGCCUAGAACAUGGGUUUGAGCUCCCAAGCUGCUCCUCUUUGGUGGGUGUUUGAGGCUAUAGUCAGGGGAUAGGGGCAGAACAAUCUUGAAACCCCCGACCCAGAUCUGGGGGUUAUGGUGGGCCACACCCAUAGUACCUCUGUGAGUCAUGCAUCUCCCAUCUCCCCCAUGCCUCCCUUCCUCUGCAUAUUCAGUCUGCUGCCAUUAGCCUCACAAACUCUCCAUGUGAGACCCUUUAUUAGCCUCACAAGCCCUCCCUGCUCCACACCUUUAAUCCCAAGUCCCCAUCAUUACUGCAACCUCUCCUCCCCGAGACCUUGCCCAUUCCUUAAAAUCCAGAAGCCCAAUGUCCAUACUUCUCAGGAGUGGCAUCAUAAGGUCCCCAGUCUUCAUCACCCAAAAAAGAGGGGUUCUCUCUGUCCUCACCCAGUGUCCAUCUCAACACUCAGCUGGAAUCCCCAAAGCCUUUAGUCUACCAAAUCAAGUGUGGAUUAGGUUUUCUGACAGUGUGGGUGGUUCCCCUGCAAAACUUGCCCCUAUGUGGAGGAUGGUUUCUCAGGGGCACGUUUAUUACAGAGAGCACACUAACUUCUUUCAUGACAGCUAAAGGCAUUAAACUACAAAAAAUCUGGCUCUAGGAUUGGGCAGCUCAGUGGGGCCUGACUUGGCUACACCUCUUUCCUCCUAGGCAGGCCCCAGGAGACAGGAGAAGGGGGAAGAGAGAGGAAGAGAAAGCUGGGGCAGAGAGGAAGCUCACAUAGGCUCUGCCUCCACAGUGGGAGGAGCAGGGCUGAGGUGGGGCCAGCUAGAAUGGGCGGUGUCCAGGCCUUGCAUCACCAGCCCAGAGCUGGGAAGGCCUGAGUGAGACCCAGCAGGCUGGUUGCUGAGCCAGGAUGGGGAGAGGCCUGGUUUUGGCUCCUCCAGCUCCCAGACUGAGAGCCUAUCCCACCGUAUGUUUUCUCCAGAGUCCUCGCUGGUAGCCUGGUGGCCAAGCACAGACCAGAGUCUUCUUGAGGCGGACAGAGUAUUGGGAGAGAAAGCAGUAGAGGAAGAAAGCUACAGAGAAAGACCCUGAAAGAAGAGGCUGGGGCCUGAGGGAGCCACAAGCCCAGAGGUCACCUUACCGGUUGGUCAGCUCUGGGUAUCCAUGGGAGGAAGGCAAGGCAGGAGGGCCUUGAAUGCCAGAGCAAGCGGACUCAGACCCUGGAUAGACUCUCUGAGACCUAGCAAAUGCCCAUA